CAGCCGCCACGGGAAUACGGAGGGGGCUAGCGUUGUUCGGAAUUACUGGGCGUAAAGCGCACGUAGGCGGCUUUGUAAGUUAGAGGUGAAAGCCCGGGGCUCAACCCCGGAAUUGCCUUUAAGACUGCAGAGCUAGCAGGUGAGAGAUGUGAGUGGAAUUCCGAGUGUAGAGGUGAAAUUCGUAGAUAUUCGGAAGAACACCAGUGGCGAAGGCGGCUCACUGGCUCAUACUGGACGCUGAGGUGCGAAAGCGUGGGGAGCAAACAGGAUUAGAUACCCGAGUAGUCCCUGUCUCUUAUAC
rnacentral:rRNA from 1 species